rnacentral:misc_RNA from 1 species
CACAAAAUAAAGAGGGAAAAAAAAAGGGAAAAAAAAGCUGCCCAACUACUCUGCCAGCAAGAUAUAGGAUUCAACCACAAGAUCACUCCUUGAUCCUGUAAAAACACACCAAAAAUAAAAUACUCAGAAUAAUGAGUGACUGCUACAUGGAAAUUCAAGCAAAAAUUAUUGAUGCAAAGAUCCAAGAAAAACCCUUUUCUCAAUCUUAGUUCAUGCCUCAAGAGGAUGGAAAGAAACACCUUGGAGCAACCAAAUCUACCGUUUUAGUUCACUUGCUAAAGAGCUCAACCAUAAGAUGACCAAUUAAAACAGACUAAAGAUUUAAAUCAGGAAGCCACCAAAACAGAAGGGAAAAACUUGAAUAAUCCUCACAAGUAGAUAAUUAUGCACUAUAUUCGUACUUCUCUCUGUGGCAUGAACUUGCCCUGUCUUCAUGUCCAAAGGCAACUGUAAACACAAGAUCCAUCUAGGAACAGAUAUUGCGACUACUAUAAACAACUAACACAGAUUUAAAGAAACAAAAAAUCAGGAGCAGCAAAAACAAUCAAAUUGAGAAAACCGAAAAACUCAAAUCUAGGAAUCUACCAAGAAACAAUCCUACAACACAGAAGUAAAAGCUAAUGUGGGAAUUUUUCUAAGGUUCCACUAAUACAAAACACAAAAUUGUAAGGCAGAUUUGUACAGAAGCAAAUAAUCACUCCCCUUAUGCAUAAUAGUGCACAUAAAUCUUGAAGAUUGACAAAAUUACAGAUUAUUGCAACCAGUUAUCACGUUCUAAAUAGCUCAAUAGGCAUAAACCAACACACAAUUUUUAUAUAGACUAUCUUAGCCCAAUCAAUCCUUCCAUAGGGUAAAGUGAGUACAAAUAAAGUUAAUUGACCAUUUUCC